rfam:Canis lupus familiaris chromosome 2, whole genome shotgun sequence.
AGGGGGAGCGCCGGAUCUUGGGCUGUGUCCCCGGCGGCCUAUGCUCCCGGGCCUGUGCUGUUGGAAUAGCGCUCCCGUCCGUGCAGCUCCCU